AUAUACUGACGACAAACGAACACGAUAAUAAAAAUGUGUAUGAAAUUUCAUUUAUUAAAAUUGAUUUUAAGGUUUCAGAGAAUAUUGUCGUAGAUAAACAUAAGGAUUCAUAUGAUAUAAAGAUCAUCUUUGUUUCUGAAUGGAAGAAAACUUAUUUUAACAUUUGUCUUAUAUUUCAAAAUUACUAGAAUAGUGAUAUACGAAACACGACGGAGCAAAGUAUUAUGUCGCAAAGUAUUUGAAGACGAUAGAUGAUACGUUUUUGUAAAAAGUAUAUUUUUUCAACGUAAUAACAAUGAAUACAUACAAUCAGUUAUCUAUACUAAUGGGAAUAAGCAGAUUUUAACUUACAAUUAGCUUAAAUUUUUGCAAAUCAUGUAUGUAUAAUACAUAAGUAACAUGUAUUACUUUAAUUGUUUAGUUCAUGGAUAAUGCUAAACGAGAUUUGUUUUUCUUAUUUACAAAAUUUCAUACAUAUUACACCAAAUGAAAGUAAAAUAAGUUCAAAUAAGUUUAUUAUUACCAAAUAUAUUAAUAACAAUACUAUCGAUGGAAAAGAAAUAUUGCAGUGAUAAAUUAAAGCGAGGAUACUGAUUGACCUAGAUGCACCUAAGGCUGUUGAGAUAAAAUCAAAUAAAAUCUCCGUAUAUCGUAGCAGAUAUAUAUUCACGUAUAGAUCGUGAUGUAUCCGUUUGUUCGCAAAUCAUGAAACAAGUAUUCAGUAUACUUUCGAGACCCGGAAGAUAUGUAUGUUUAUGUAUACAUAAGAAUCAAGCAAUUAGGCAUGUUUCUCCUUCUAUUAGGUAUACUGAUUGUUAGAUAUUGAAUAUAUAUUAACCCUUCGUAGAUAAACAUCUCUUUUUACAAUCUGUAGGACCGUUUAACUAGAUCGUUCGUAUUCAAGUUAAAUUUCCUAACCAAUCUAUUCUUUCAAAAAAAUUUUUUAAAUUUCACAAUUACUUAUCAAUGUUUUUAUUACGCUAUACAAAUUGUGUUCGUCAAGCUAAACAUUUGAAAAAUUUAUCAAUAAAAAUAAAAAUUUGGAGGAGGUAUAACGACUCAGUUUGCUAACGAAGGGUUAAUUUUACAAAAAGAUAUCAUCUAAUAUUUAUAAGAAAAAGCCUUAUAUAUAAAUAAUUUUCAGUUCCAAACUAACUCUAAGAAACUCAUUGAAUUUAUGGUAAACGUUGAUGUUUUAAGUGCGGACGAUAGAUUCUUAAAAUAAAAAUUUCGUCAACGCACAUACAAUAUAAUUGUGAAGAAUUUACAUAUAUCAGACCUUUCCAUCGCGUGUGCCGAUAAGCUAUGGAAUUCUAGAUCGUGUUUCAGUGUAGAGGAACACUUGUACGUAUAAGGCAUCUAUCAUUAAUAACAAUAUUUUUCUCAAAGAUCCUCGAUUUCACUAGAAGUGGUGAAGAAUUACACAGCCUCAAAGGUUCCGCCGUUGAACAGAUCUGAUUUACAGAAUAAAGCUAUCAUUUAUAUAAAUAAGCGUAUGUUAUCAUGUUAAAAAAGGGAAAUAAUCGAAGAAUAUACAAACUUGUCCCAAAAGAAAAAGAGUCCACAAAUUAAUCAUUUUAAAUGAAGUUGUACAUUUUUAUUUUGGUGUCCAUUUAAACAUUCAGUGAAAAAAAAAUCAUAAAAAAUUAUACGAGAAUUGAAUAAUUCUUUUGCUAUCUUUAGUUAUGUCGUGUGUAGGUGGACACGUUAUAAAUAAAUAAAUACAUAAAUAAUUAAACAUUAUCGAAAAACAAAACUAUUGUUUACACAUUAAAUUGUUGCAAACAAGUUUUUUUUACCCUGCUCUCAUCAAAUAUUACGAGUUUGCAAAUUUUUUAAACAUUUUC
rnacentral:lncRNA from 1 species